CCCAUAAGACUGGGAUUACUCCGGGAAACCGGGGCUAAUACCGGAUAACAUUUUGAACUGCAUGGUUCGAAAUUGAAAGGCGGCUUCGGCUGUCACUUAUGGAUGGACCCGCGUCGCAUUAGCUAGUUGGUGAGGUAACGGCUCACCAAGGCAACGAUGCGUAGCCGACCUGAGAGGGUGAUCGGCCACACUGGGACUGAGACACGGCCCAGACUCCUACGGGAGGCAGCAGUAGGGAAUCUUCCGCAAUGGACGAAAGUCUGACGGAGCAACGCCGCGUGAGUGAUGAAGGCUUUCGGGUCGUAAAACUCUGUUGUUAGGGAAGAACAAGUGCUAGUUGAAUAAGCUGGCACCUUGACGGUACCUAACCAGAAAGCCACGGCUAACUACGUGCCAGCAGCCGCGGUAAUACGUAGGUGGCAAGCGUUAUCCGGAAUUAUUGGGCGUAAAGCGCGCGCAGGUGGUUUCUUAAGUCUGAUGUGAAAGCCCACGGCUCAACCGUGGAGGGUCAUUGGAAACUGGGAGACUUGAGUGCAGAAGAGGAAAGUGG
rnacentral:rRNA from 1 species